rnacentral:rRNA from 1 species
UGGAUUAGUGGCGAACGGGUGAGUAACACGUGGGCAAUCUGCCCUUCACUCUGGGACAAGCCCUGGAAACGGGGUCUAAUACCGGAUAAUACUCCUGCCUGCAUGGGUGGGGGUUGAAAGCUCCGGCGGUGAAGGAUGAGCCCGCGGCCUAUCAGCUUGUUGGUGGGGUAAUGGCCCACCAAGGCGACGACGGGUAGCCGGCCUGAGAGGGCGACCGGCCACACUGGGACUGAGACACGGCCCAGACUCCUACGGGAGGCAGCAGUGGGGAAUAUUGCACAAUGGGCGAAAGCCUGAUGCAGCGACGCCGCGUGAGGGAUGACGGCCUUCGGGUUGUAAACCUCUUUCAGCAGGGAAGAAGCGAAAGUGACGGUACCUGCAGAAGAAGCGCCGGCUAACUACGUGCCAGCAGCCGCGGUAAUACGUAGGGCGCAAGCGUUGUCCGGAAUUAUUGGGCGUAAAGAGCUCGUAGGCGGCUUGUCACGUCGGAUGUGAAAGCCCGAGGCUUAACCUCGGGUCUGCAUUCGAUACGGGCUAGCUAGAGUGUGGUAGGGGAGAUCGGAAUUCCUGGUGUAGCGGUGAAAUGCGCAGAUAUCAGGAGGAACACCGGUGGCGAAGGCGGAUCUCUGGGCCAUUACUGACGCUGAGGAGCGAAAGCGUGGGGAGCGAACAGGAUUAGAUACCCU